rnacentral:rRNA from 1 species
GUGGGGUAAAGGCCUACCAAGGCGAUGACGGGUAGCGGGUCUGAGAGGAUUAUCCGUCACACUGGGACUGAGACACUGCCCAGACUCCUACGGGAGGCUGCAGUCGAGAAUCUUCCACAAUGGGCGAAAGCCUGAUGGAGCGACGCUGCGUGCAGGAUGAAGGCCUUAGGGUUGUAAACUGCUGUCACGCUAUAGGAAACCGUUGGGGUUAAUAGCCUCAGCGCUGACCAAAGCGAGAGGAAGUGCCGGCUAACUCCGUGCCAGCAGCCGCGGUAAGACGGAGGGCGCAAGCGUUGUUCGGAUCACUGGGCAUAAAGAGCACGUAGGCUGUUAGUUAAGUCGGAUGUGAAAGCCCUCGGCUCAACCGGGGAACUGCAUUCGAUACUGGCUGACUCGAGGACAGGAGGGGUGAGCGGAACUCCAGGUGGAACGGUGAAAUGUGUAGAUAUCUGGAGGAACACCGGUGGCGAAAGCGGCUCACUGGCCUGUCUCUGACGCUGAGGUGCGAAAGCUAGGGGAGCGAACGGGAUUAGAUACCCCGGUAGCCCUAGCCGUAAACGAUGGGCACUAGGCAGCGGACCUUCCUAUGGGGUUCUCUGCCGUAGCUAAUGUGUUAAGUG